GCGCCCGAAGCCAUUAGGCCGAGGGCACGUCUGCUUGGGCGUCACA
rnacentral:rRNA from 1 species